UCCCAGCUCUUUCCUCCCGGCGGCCGAGACUGCGCCGAUGAACGUUCUAUGUGCGGGGCCAGCGCCGGGCACAGCAAAGACCCCUGUGCCCCGAGAGGGAUCGAGCAGACCUGGGAGCCCGAGUCCCAGCAAGGCCCGAGCCGAGCCAGUUUCUCCAACUAACACCCUGAGAGCACUCUUGGUCCUGGCUGUUCAGACCCCAGACGAAUUUACCCCUGUUUUUUAUGGGGUGGGCUUUCAGAGUUUGAAGGAAGUGAAGCUAGCCUCACUCACUCCAGGGCCUAUUCCCACCCUGACUCGCCCGUUCCUGACUGUGGCCCGCUGUUUCGGGGCCGCGGCUGAGUCCCUCUGCGCCAGCCUCCUGGUGGCGGGCCUGCCAGCCCUUCUCUGCUGUGAGAAGAUGGGGGCGCCCGGACGUCUCCAUCUUUCAAAAGCACCAUUCCACUGAGGACCCUGCCUGCGACGGGAUCAAGUCUAACCCACUCUGGAUCGCACGUGCCUGGCAGAGGGACAGCGCUGUGGAGGAACACCUUCCAGGCCCACCAGCUUCCACCACCCAUUGCUAGGCAGUAACUCUCCCACCGUGACAACCACCCGCUUUUCUUCCCUCUCUCAAGGGGCAGGCCCACGCCACUUGAGAAUAGCAAGCUGACAGGGACAGCCCUCUGGCUUUAAGAGGGGAGAGGGACAGGCUUCUGAACAGUACGGUCUCAGCAGCAGGAGCGCGCGCAUGUCAAUGGUCCCUCUCUGCUCCCUGACAAGCAGGUGCUCCUUCCUUCCGGUGGCUCUCAUCUCUUAGUUGCAAUUGCUGUAGGUGAGAGAGCAGCACAGCUUGCUCUAGGUCACUCUCAGCAGGGACUGGGCUGGAACCCAACCGUUAGCUCCAAGUUGGGUCUGUCCACCCGCUCCUGAAGCCCCAAUAGGUGCAGGCUUGGGCAUUAAGGAGAGAGGAAGGGAGAGGGUGCUAGGGCUCCAGCGACCCUGUGGCUGGAACAAGGAGGCCAAGGACACCCCUCCUUGCUGAAGCCAUGCUGGCCACUCCUCCCACACCACCAGAAUUGCAGAGGAAGGCCCAAGGGCGAUGCUGUCAUGGGCCCAGGGGCCAGUGGCUGUGGGUGGCACUGGUGUGGGCUGGACUGAAUGGUGAUGCUGGUGUUUCUCCUUCCUGGCAGCAUGAUAUCCUGGGGCAAGUCGUAUGCUCUCCCGCCUGGCCAUUUAUCCUCUUCCUUUUCAAAAAAAUAGGUUUUACUCAUUUUUUUUCUUGUUUCAAAGGCAAUAUGUGUUUAUUGUGGUAAGUUUAAGAAAUACUGGCUAGAUACACAAAAAGGAAAAGAAGUCCUCGGUAAUUCCUCCAUCCUGAGACACCUGUUUUAAACAUUUGGUCUCUCUCCUUCUAUACAAUAUAUAGACUUUUUCUUAUACAAAAAAUAAUCAUGUUAAUAUUUUGUAACAUUUUCCCAACUUAGCAUCAUUUGAUGAUUGCCUUUCUCUACCAUUCCAUAUUCUGCCAUAGUUCCACAGACUCCAUGGUGGGGCUGCACCGUAAUGUAUUCAGUCUUUCCCCACCAGCAUGGUUGGACAUUACCUUGUUCUGCAAGCACGUGUGGAGAGUCCGUGUCAGGCCCAGCCCUAGGCCCCAUAGGACAGAAGAUGUCAAGGCCCCUGCCUUUCUGGCAUUUACAUUUGAGUAGGGGGACAACAUACAUGUGUACAAAUAAGAAUAUUUCAAGCAAGAAAAUGAGAAAAGAUGGGGAGAUGGGUGGCAUGGGCAAGUGAUGCAGCCAUGAGUGGAGGCUAUCUGGGAAUACAGGUCUGCGCCAGGAGCAGCAGAUGGAGCACCCAGCCAAGGAGAAUCCAUGGACAGCAGAGAAGCCCAUGGCCACCCUGAGGACAGAGCUUGCUGUAUCCUCCAGUGCUGUGGUCUGUUGAAGGCUUUGAGGCAGGACGGGUUGCGCUUGGAUGCCCAGUGGGCUCCAGGUAUCCACGCUACCCUGUAGAAAAUUGAAGAGGAGGGAAUACUUUCAAGCUGUUUCGAUGAGGCCAUGAUUACCAUGAUACCAAAGCCAGACAAAGAUACUAGAAGAACACUACAGACCAAUAUUCCUUAUGAAUAUCGAUGCCAAAAUCCUCAACAAAAUACUUGCAAACUGAAUUCAGUAGCGUAUUAAAACGAUCAUAUGCCAUGACCAAGUGGGGUUUAUUCCCAGAAUGCAAGGAUGGUUCAGCAUCCAAAAAUCAGUGUAAUACACAUGUUAACAGAAUGAGCAAUAAGAACCUACAUGGUCAUCUCAAUUAAUGUAGAAGAAGCAUUUAACAAAAUUCAACAUGCUUUCUUGAUUAAAAAAUUAAAUACACUAGGAAUAGAAGGAAACUUCCUCAACAUAGUAAAGGCCAUAUGUGAAAAGCUGACAGCUAAAAUCUUACUCAAUGGUGAAAAGCUGAAAGCAUUUCCUGUAAGAUCAGGAAGAAGGCAAGGAUGCCCACUCUCCCUACUUCUAUUCAACAUAGUACUGGAAGUCCUAGCCAGAGCAAUUACACAAGAAAAAGGAAAAGGAAAAAAAAGACAUCCAAAUUGGAAAAGAAGUAAAAUUAUCUGUUCACAGAUGACAUGAUCUUAUAUCAUCAUGUAAGAUCAUCAAGAUAUAGGAACCCUAAAGAGUCCACAGACAUAAAACCACUCCAAAACCUAUGAAUUUAGCAAAGAGCAAGAUACAAAAUCAACAUAUGAAAAUUAGUUUUGUUUCCAUACACUGACAAUGAACAAUCUUAAAACAGCCAGGCACAGUGGCUCACACCUAUAAUCCCAGCACGUUGGAAGGCCGAGGCAGACGGAUCACCUGAGGUCAAGAGAUCGAGGCCAGUCUGGCCAACAUGGUGAAACCCUGUGUCUACUAAAAAUACAAAAAUGAGUCAGGUGUGGUGGCACAUGCCUGUUAUCCCAGCUACUUGGGAAGCUGAGGCAGAAGAAUCACCUGAGUCUUGCAGGUGGAGGCUGCAGUGAGCCGAGAUCAUGCCACUGCACUCCAGCCUGGGUGACAGAGCAAGACUCUGCCUCAAAAAAAAAAAAAAAAAAAAAAAUCUAAAAAGGAAAUUAUGAAAAAAAAAUCCAUUUAUAAUAGCAUCAAAAAGAAUAAAAUACUCAGGAAUAAGCCAAGGAGACAAAAAACUUGUACAUUGAAAAUGGAAAACUACCAAACUUUGCUCAAAGCAAUUUAAAAAGGGACAAAUAAAUGAAAAGACAGCCUGUGUCUUAUUGUUAAAAGGUCAAUCUCUUAAAAGCAAUCUACAGAUUUACUGCAAUCCUUAUGAAAAUCCCAACAAUGUUUCCUUGCAGAAAUAAAUUUUCUAAAGGAAAAAUCCAUUCUAGAAAACAUAUGAAUCUCAAGGGACCCCAAGUAGCCAAAAUAGUCUUUAAAAAAACAAAACAGAAAAUAAUAAGUGUUGAUGUAGAUGUGGAGUAACUGGAACUCUUUUUCAUUCCUGGUGGGAAUGUAAAAUAGUAUAGCCACUGUGGAAAAUGGUAUGGCAGUUCCUCAAAAAAUACAAAAAUUGAAUCACCAUGUGAUCCAGCAGUUCUGCUUCUGGAUAUAUACCCAAAAGAAGUGAAAGCAGGGACUCCAACCGUUAUUUGCAUGCUAACGUUCAUAGCAGCAUUAUUCACAACAGCCAAAGGAUGGAUGCCACCCAAGUAUCCACUGGCAGAUGAAUGGAGAAACAAAGUGUGGUACAUACAUACAAUGGAAUAUUAUUCAGUCUUAAAAAGGAAGCAAGUUCUGACCCAUGCUACAGUGGGCAUGAAACUUGAGGACAUUAUGUUAAGUGAAAUAAACUGGUCACAAAAGGACAAA